CUUUGAGCUCAGGAUAUCCUCCUCCGUGUUUCCUUUCAUAUUUAGAUCUACAAUCUGUCUGGAAUUGAUUGUUGUGUUUCAUGUGAGGCAGAGUCCAACAUCUCGAUGGUUCCAUGUGGAUGGCUGGUCGGAAAAGUCAUUGCUCCCCCUUGCUCUCUAGUGAUGCCUGUGCUGUGGAUCAGGCAUCGUUAUGCCCACGUGUGUGGGUUUGCCUCUGGGCUCCCUGUGGUGUCCCCGUGGCCUGUGUGUCUUUCCUGUAUAAAGCAUGCCCCCUUAAUUACUCUGGCUUUGUGAAUAACUCCUGAUACCCAGUUGUGAAAAGUACCUGACUUUGUUCUUCUUUGUGUUAGUCUUGGCUCUUUGGUUCUCCAUGUUAGAUAUUUUAGAUUUAUCUUGUAAAUUUCCACCGAAACAAAAACUUGAUGGGACUUUGAUUGUGAUUACAAUGCCUAGAUCAGUUUUUGUUUUUGUUUGUUUCUUUUCCUGGGCAACAACCCUAUGGAGUAGAUUCCGUUGUUUACCUCUGUGACAGAUGCACUUCUUUGUAGCUGGGACACAGGGAAUGAUGUAAGCAGCUUAAUCUGUCACCCUCAAUGCCAGCAUCCCACAUCAGUGAUCCAGUUCGAGUUCCAGCCCCACCUACUUUGAUUCUCCUAAGAAAGACUUCAGCUUGAGAGUGGGUGACGCAGGUAGGCAAGUACCGUGGCCUCUGUGUGUUGGCCCCAAAAUGGCCCUCUUGUGUUGGCCCUCAGUGGUUUAUUUCUUGGCUACAGACAAAGACCUGCUAGGUCAAAAGCCCAAGGAACCAAAUUCACUUUUCCCCACUUCCAGUUGUUUAAAAAAAUAACUGCCCAAACCAACAGAUGUUUAGUCUCUUAGAGCCUAUACUGGGAAAAUUCAGCUACAACCUCCUGCUAGACAGGGCCUUGAGGUCUAAGGCUCCAAAUCACUGCUGCCCAUUGAACUUUCUCAGAGACCCCUGGUGUGCCUCUGUGCACCGUCAUCUGGACUGCGGAGCCCCCCAUGACUGAUCCCACUCUCCCAGGAGUUCCCUCACCCUCUUUCCCUCUGGCUCACGGCCCCUGGGCAGUCAGCUGUGGAUGGCCUCAUGCUGGGAGGAGUUUCCUUCUUAGACAGUGCUCCCACCUCUGGUUCUAUCUUUUCCUUUCAUCAGCCCUGCAGGGUGGUGUCUGAAGCAGAUAAAUGGAGCUGUGACUUAGCUGCUGAAGUGCUGUACUUCAGGUUUCCUUCCUGACCUUGUCUUUGACCCUUCAUGGAGAUACUGGGAACUUCUUGCUACCAUUUUUCAAAUGUUCUUUUAAAUUCAAACUUAGUAGAGGUGCUUUGAUUAUUGAAACAAAGGAUACUCAUACAUAGUUGCUGUUAUUAUUAGCUUACACCUCCCCCGUUCUGUUUAGAGCUGUCCACCAGCCCAGACUUUCAGAAAACCAAAUCUUGCCCAUUCUACACCUGCAAGACACCUGCUCAUCUGGAGCCAAGGAUUAGACAAAGAGCAAUUAGGACUUCAUUGUGAAGCUGGAUGGGAAUGAAUGGUGUCUCAGUAACCCCGAGUUAGGAAUGACUCCCUGGGUCAGGAGCCCUCUGACUACCCUCUGUUAGGCGAUUGUUUCCAGACACCAUGCAGAAGGAUCCAGCAUGCUGCUUGUUAAAGGAUCAAUAAAUCAUGCUGUGGAUGUGAGAAAAUAGCAAGACCUUAGCCAAAAUGGCAUCCUAGUCUGAGGUACCAUUAGUAAUGCCGUAAUUUGCAAUCAUAAUAAAAAUAAAAGUAAUAGGAAAACCACGUAGAGGCAGUUCCACUGCCUACUGGAUUUUUAAUUUUCUUGAGGAUGCCAGAGGCAAUCUUGAGCCCAUUAUGUCUAAAUGAGGCACAUUAUAAAAGGCUUGCAAAGUCCAGACUGCUUUUAUAGCCAUUAAUUAGCCAGACUUCUAAAUAGGCCCAUAAGACUAAGCGUGGGUACGUCUCUGGACUCCAUUGGGGGCUGGAGUGCUCAGAGAAGUCAAGUAUCAGCUGUUUAGUUGUGAUUGUUCCGCCCUUCUCUCUCAUCCUGCUUCUAAUCAGAUGUCGCCUUUUUGAGGAGUGAACGAGGGAGGAUGCUACCAGACCAAGCCCCUAAUGAGAAUGCUUCGAACGUCCCUCCAAGGGUGUGGGUGUGCAUGCAAGCUGACCCUGUGCCCUAAGUGUCCUCUCAUCAGGGUGAUUUACUCCAGAUGCGAUUUGGAAGAGCAAGAAUCAGUUAUUUUGAGCAACCUGCUCAAAGAAGCCAUCACACAUUAAAUGACAACAGAGCAAACAUUGUUUCCAUUUACUCUGCAUCAGCAGCCCUCAAGGACGGAGUCUGGCACGCAAACGUCUACGACUGUUGAAUGAAUGAACCCUGAGGCAAACAAACCCCACAGCAAUCCCGUCACCACUGAGAGGAAUAACGUCAAGAUUUUAGAAGCACGUGAGCUGAAGCAAAGGCUACCCUUUCCCGUCUGCACAAUCUUGCUUGUGCCUGUGGACGUGGUGCAACGUUCUCUCCUUGAAAUCAAGUUAAAUUUCACUUUGGAUUUUCAGUUUUUGGCAGCCCAGUCAUUAUUCACUCACCGGGUAGUUUGCAUUUGUCUGAUUUGCAGCAUCUGGGCUAAUAUCUUUGGGGUUUUGCUGUAUAUAUGCAUCUCUU